CACACACACACACACACACACACACACGCACGCACACAAGAACAGUAAAUAGAGACACCCCCCCCCCCCCCCCCCUUCUUCGUUAUGUUAAAAAUAGCAUGGCCUGAAACUUCCACUGGUGACUGUAUAAAAGAAUGAAUAGAAAAGAAAGAAAGGAGAUAUAGAACACAUAUGUACACACACACACACACACACACACACACACACACACACACACACACACACACACACACACUAACAGUGGUAGGCAAAGAGUCUGGCAGGAUGGAAGGGUCUUCUUCAACAUGUGUGUGUGUGUGUGUGUGUGUGUACAAAUACUUAGCUGUUCGUGAGGACCAAAAAGGACUGAACGCCCUCACAAUGACAGGAUAGUGUCAAAAUUCAUCCUCGAAAAUGAACAAACAAAUAAAUGAAUAAAAACACACUACAAGAGUCUUUGUCCAAAGUUCACUCAGCGGCCAUCUUGGCGAUGCCCCCCGGGGGGCAGUUAUUUUCAGUCGUACAAGACAAGACGAGACUCACAAACGCUAACCGAGAGCCGGGGGAUAAUGGAAAAAAUUAAAAUAAAAUAAAAUCAAAAUCAAAACACAAACAUGGGAGGUCACCUAUAAACUAAAUGACCUAGAGGAAGUGUAUUGGACUUCGUCUGGGACCCCGACGUCGUGCUGCUACGGUCCCCUCGCAGGGUGCCAAUACUUUCAGAGGGGACUGUAUGUUACCUAUCAGACUGCAUGUCCGGUGGUAUUUCGUUUUUGUUUUUAAAUCCAUAAGUUCAAAGAUUGUUUCAAUUCAAUUCUUACAAAAAAAAAGAAAAGAAAGAAAGUAUUUAACUAAGUAAGGGUGAAUAGUAAAACGGUGAGUUUGAAAAAACGCUGCCACCUGAAGAUAUAUACAAAUAAAAGAAUACGCAGAAGAGUAUUAUGAUGUUAAUAUAGCAAUAUGGACAUGAUAUUAUCAUAUCUCUCAUUAUGAAGUUUAGUUCAGACUUUCUUUAUGUAUUCUGUAUAAGAAGGCGGAAGUACUCUGUACUUUCUCUGUGCUAACGCAGCUCGCAUGCUAAGUCAUUCCUCCCAUAACCAUGUCCUGUAAUCUAUGAUCGACGGAUCAGACCAUUAUCGUGUCUUUUUAUUACUGGGGGGACGCGUAUAGAAAGGCUAUACGCUCGACUCGAGCUUGGCAUGCUGGGAGCUUGGGGGUUCUGGAGUCCUGGUGGCAAGUUACAUUUAUGAGGUGUUAAGAAUGUUCGGCUGUAAAUGAGCGACGGUCUGCAACAUCGUUCCUGCAGUUCCCUCCCCAUCCCCCAACCUCCGAGAAACAGACGCGUCUUGCGUCUAAAUCUGGAUUGUGAGGCCCUGAUGACUAUAACAUCAGUGUUAAGCCCGCACUCCCUUCACGUCGCACCACAAACACACCUCCUAAUGUGGGGUUUCUGACCGCACCCCCACCCCCACCCACCUCCCAACUCCCUACGUGGAAAACGUCUCACAGUCACAUCUGACUCUGGUUUCUAUACUGACACGAGUUUAUAUAUGAAACGAGUCUCUACAUGAGUCUAGAGAGGUUUCCGUGACGUAUAAAACAUUAACUCGACAGAGCCGCUUCAGAAUAAUCCGAUUUGAACUAGACUUGACUGGUCAUAAGUUAUGAGCUUCAAAAAUACAUGUAAAAAAAAAAAUUACAGACUACAAAAACGACACAAGAAUUCAAUGAUCAGAGUCAUGACCAUGCAGAAAUUGUGUGAAACCGUAAUCAUUUAUUCAUUUGCUUAUGUGUAAGUCUUCCACAUUUGUUUAUUACAUUUUUACCAAACGUUGCUUUCUGCGGUCUAAUUGGUAACAGUGGCAUUUUAGACAGAAACUAUAGAUCUGAUUGGUUACAAUGGCAGUUCAACAGGACCUGCAGUCUCAUUGGAUACAGUGGCAAUUUGGUUACAGAAUUCUUAUGGGUAAGCAAGGGUGGCUCGGUAGUUAAGGCUCUGGGUUACUGAUCAGAAGAUCGGACAUUCAAGCCCCAGAACCACCGAGUUGACACGGUUGGGCCCUUGAGUAUGACCCUACCAGCUCCAGGAGCUGCCCUGCCUCUCUGACCCCAACUUCCUAACAAGCUAGGAUAUGCAAAGAACAGAUGUUCACUAUACUGUAAUGUAUGCAACAAAUAAAAGCUUUAUUUGGGUACAUUGGUCUUUUGGGAAGCAACCACAGUCUGAUUGGGCACAUUGGUCUUUGGGGCAGGAACUGCAGUCUGAUUGGGUACAUUGGUCUUUGGGGUAGGAUACGCAGUCUGAUUGGGUACAUUGGUCUUUUGGGCAGGAACUGCAGUCUGAUUGGGUACAUUGGUCUUUUGGGCAGGAACUGCAGUCUGAUUGGGUACAUUGGUCUUUUGGGCAGGAAACGCAGUCUGAUUGGGUACAUUGGUCUUUGGGGUAGGAUACGCAGUCUGAUUGGGUACAUUGGUCUUUUGGGCAGGAACUGCAGUCUGACUGGGUACAUUGGUCUUUUGGGCAGGAACUGCAGUCUGACUGGGUACAUUGGUCUUUUGGGCAGGAACUGCAGUCUGACUGGGUACAUUGGUCUUUUGGGCAGGAACUGCAGUCUGACUGGGUACAUUGGUCUUUUGGGCAGGAACUGCAGUCUGAUUGGGUACAUUGGUCUUUGGGGCAGGAACUGCAGUCUGAUUGGGUACAUUGGUCUUUGGGGCAGGAACUGCAAUAUGACUGUUUACAGUAGCUUUGUGUUGCUAUUAGUUUCAAUGCCAUUGUGAGUAGGAGCUGUGGUUACAGCAGUGGACACAAACUGCUGCUCAGAUGGUUACAGAGGCAUUGUGGCCUAGAAAGGAAAUCUGAUUGGUUACAGUAACUAUGGAGGCAGAAACUUACAGUCUACAAAGACAGGCAAUAAUCUCAGAGUCAGUUACAAGAACAUUUAGAGCCUCUUAUUCUUGACCAGAGCUAUACCACAAGCUAGCAAUCUUAUAGCUUCGAAAAUGGCCAGUGACAUGUGGAAAUACUUUGACAUAACUGAAGGAAGGGCAGCACAGAGCUGUAUUGUAUUCAGGGCUGUAUAGAAUGCAGCACUGUCAUGUGGUUGUCCUUCGGACAAGUAAAUUUGUUAAAAAAAGGGGGAAAAAAUGGUGGUGUAAAUAUAAUUAUUUAGAAGUAAUAUACUCACAUCAGUGUUCUAUCAGCUCAUUACACUGUAAGCCCUAUUCACAACAGUCAGUUUAACGCCCCAAAGGCUGUCAAUGGGAGUGCUCACUCCCAGAGCGUCAAAUUUUUUUAAUGUCGAGGGGUUAGAGUUUUUUUUGACGCGCCACGUCAAAAACUGGCCGACCAAUGAGAUUCGCGCUUUUGUUCACGUGCCCGGAAGCGCUGAAGUUACAUAAAAGGACGACUUGAUGGCGCUCAAGGAGAAAACUGUCUUAAAUUCACUUGCCCUGUACAAGUGGACACGCGUUAAUGUCGAGCCCUGCAAUGUACACAAAGUGACAUCACCUCACAUUUAAACCUGGCAUUUUCAUAGCAUUUUCAUUCAGAUGUUAGCCACACAAGCAUGACUUGUUGUCAGUAGUUUUUUUUUUUUUUUUUUUGAGAACCCAAACAGACUAUAUAAAUUCAUUUCGGGGAAUGAGAGUACUCGAACACAUGCUUGUUGUCUCAGUCAUGUAUUCAACAUGUUCAAUUGACCAGAAUGUUGGCACUGAGCCAAUCAGCUUUGAGGGGAAAUCUGAAAUGUUGCUGCUUGUUAGCUCGAGUACACGCCUCACUGCACAGCUCGAAGAACACAGCAUGAACAAUUUCUCAGAAGUCCAACAAACAAUUGCGCAAUACAUGGAUUUGUUCGCGUGUCCUAGUUUAAGAGAUUACAUGGAGCUACAUGAGGUAUUCCACCCUUUCAGAGAUUAAAAAUGUUCGUUCAAGUCGCAGGCAAGCGAUAUAUCAUGAGAAGUUCCUGCCAGUCAAAAGACACUGCGAUUCCACAAGACAUGAUUUCUUUCAUUUAUUCAUUUCUAAUAAGUGCUCUGUCCUGGUUAGGGAUGUGGUGGAUAGCCAUAGCCAAUCCCAAGGUGGGAAUACACCCUGGAUAGGACCCCAAGGCAAUUUACAGAGCCAAACGACCAAUCAGAGACGGAGGGAACCUGAAGAACCUGGAGGAAACUAACAGCAGCCCAAGCUCAUGAUUGAACCAGGGAUUCUGGAGUUGAGAGGCAGCAAUAGUACACACGCUGCCAUUGCGCUGCACUGAUGCUCCAACCAGAGCUGCUACAAUCUGCCUAUGCCACGGGUGUCUGAUCUUAUCCAGUGUGGCAGCAGGUUUUGUUUCAACCAAGCAGGAGUCGCAGCUGAUAGUUGACUAUCUGAAGGCUACGAUCAACAGGUAGAAUCAGGUAUGGCUUUUGACUGACCAGAAUGAGAACUAGCAGCCACACUGGCACUUUGCAGAUAAGAUCAGACACCCCUGGUGUGCGCUAUCUGAUUGGAUGUGAUGAGAUGCGACCAGCAAGAACCGAAAGACACAUUAAAAUCAUACAGGACCCUAUGGGUUUCCUCAAUUAAGGGCUGCAACGAACGAUUAUUUUAAUGAUCGAUUAAUCUGUCGAUUAUUUCUCCGAUCGAUCGAUUAAUUCGGAUUACAAUUUUUUUUGCCUUUAAAAAAAAAACUUUAUAUUUUGAAAACAAAAACAAAAUAAAACAACUGAUUGUCCACAAGCUUUAAAGCAUUAAAAACGCUAGGGUUAGGGUAUGGGUUUGGGUUAGGGUAUGGGUAUGGAUUAGGGUAUGGGUUAGGGUAUGGGUAUGGAUUAGGGUAUGGGUUAGGGUAUGGGUAUGGAUUAGGGUAUGGGUUAGGGUAUGGGUUUGGGUUUGGGUAUGGGUAUGGAUUAGGGUAUGGGUUUGGGUUAGGGUAUGGGUAUGGAUUAGGGUAUGGGUUAGGGUAUGGGUUAGGGUAUGGGUUUGGGUUAGGGUAUGGGUAUGGAUUAGGGUAUGGGUUAGGGUAUGGGUUUUGGUCAGGGUACGGGUAUGGAUUAGGGUAUGGGUUUGGGUUUGUGUAUGGGUUUGGGUAUGGGUUUGGGUUAGGGUAUGGGUAUGGAUUAGGGUAUGGGUUUGGAUUAGGUCUAACCUAACCUAACACAGUCUCCACAGUGACGUCACAGACCCGAAUUAUCCAUAAUUAUUAUUUUAUUUAUCGAUUAUGAUCGAUUUUUAUCAAUAAGUUGUUGCAGCCCAAGUUGUUCUUUCAGGGGAAUUCUUGAAGGUUCUACGUAGAACUUAUAAGAGCGAGAGAACCUACAUCGUUGAAGUACAACCCAAUACCCAUCCAAAGAACUCUAGACAAACUGUUUUGUUUUGUUUUGUUUUUCAGGAAAAAAGAACCCUGAUAUUCUGAUAAACAUGGAAACCAAGUACAGGUAUUUACAUCACUACCCUUUAUAGCUAGAUAGUGAAUAAAAUCUUUUUAGGCACAUUAGGUAGCACUUUAACUGCAAAAAAUCAACAACAAAAAAACCACAAUAGAACAUCUACAAGUUGUAAGAGUUCUACGGGUUGUUCCACUAGGGGAGACGUUAACAUGUUUAUGUAAAACCCUACAGUACAACAGAGGAUAUCUAUUUCAAGGGUUAAAAAAAAAGGAUUCAAAGAACCCUCAAAGAACUACUGAGGAACGUGAAAAGCAAUCUGUGUGCAAAACGAUGAGCAAGAGUGAGCGACGGACCAGGCGGGAGGACAAACUGUCCAUUGUCCCACUAAUUUGAUGAUAGAGACCAUUUCCAAUCAGCUCAGUGUCUUUUGUUUCACAGAAAACCAACCACAUGUCUCUCAGUCAGUGAACUCUAAAUGAUUUUUAAUCCUGUCUGCAAAGUGGCCGGUCUGAUCAGGCUGACAGACGCUUCCACUUGUUCACUUCAUUCCCCCUGACUGGAAUGGAUCUCACCCACUUUGCGUGACGGCGAAGGACAUCAGGACAUUCUGAAAUGUUUCCUCCAAUAUCUCCAUGAUAGCUAGCAUUAUUGAGUCAGAAGCUUCAUUACAUGAGGCCAGGAUUACGCUACAAUUACUUCCCUCUGAUACAGUGAGACAUAGGACGUCGGUCCAUCUUCAGUACAGGACAAAAUGAUAUCCAAAUCCUGGCGAAGGACGACAAUAUUCGCAUGGCGGUUUGGCUAUCGGUAUACUUCCGAACAAACAAACAUCGACCCGAACAGUGUGAACGUGGGUACGCAGAGAAAGGUUUAUAACCGUGUUGAAUGUCCCAGACAUGCUGAGACGCAUGGUGGAACUGAAUUCUUCCUUCCUGAUUAGCACUGGCCUCGCUCAAAGAACACACUGGAAGCACACAGCAUAAAUCUCUCAGCAAAGAAUUAGAAAUGGAGGCAUGUCACAUAUUUCAACGGUCACUGGUUCACAGCGAGAGAUCUUAUUUGGCAGCAGAUCACUUAGCGUGACGGGCUGAGGUUCUCCGGACUGGUCCUCCGCAGAAUCAUGUAUAUAUAGGCCUCUAUCUCCAUGGUGUGUGUAAAUAGUACAAAUUCACCCUAAAGUUUCCAAGUACAGCCCUUUGUAGAGCGUUCAAAGAAACAUUCAAAGAACUUUUCCAGCACGCUUUUGGAAGAGCUUUCACGCUUAAAAAUGGUCCGUGGAGAACCCCAGAACAGAGAACUUUCCUCUACAGGAAGCUUGGAUCUUACACUUGCUAAGAAUCCUUGAGAUCUAAACCCCCCCCCCAAAGAAAUGAAUCUAAUUUUGCUCCUCUAGGGGGAACCCCCUCAAUGGGUUUACGUAGAUCCCUACAUUUAUUUAUUUAUUUACUUAUUUAUUCUUACACAAUAAGGAACCCCUUAAGGAAGUUCUUCAGGUUGUUCCUCUAGGGGAACCCCCUAAAAGGCGUUUAUGUUUUCCAAAUAAAGGAACCUGAGUUCUUCAGAUUAUUCCUUCAGGGGAACCUCAUAAGGGCUAUACGGAGGAUCUCUCUCAGGAAAAAGAAAACAACGACUUGUAAAGCUUCUUUACAGAACUAGAACUGUUAAAAGAACCCUCAGAGAACUUUGAAAGUGUUUACUCUUAUUUCUCACCCAAAGUAGGGAACCAUGUAGUUCCAUCCAACGCCCUAAAGGGUUCUUCAGUCAGUCGCUAAAAUAGAGGAGUUCCCUUUCAGAAAAAUAAAUAAAUAAAUGCCGAGCUCUUGGGCUAUCUAUCCUAAGAGAAUCAUCUUGAGGAACCAUUUUUAGUUUUUCUAACAUUGUACAUGAUGGCUCUCCUUAUUCUCCCAUCCCUAACAUGCCUAGGCAGCCUCAGUCUUUAUAGCAGUGAUGAUAUCUGACAAGUCCACACUAACAAAAAUGUGCAAGAUGAAUAUCGCAGUCUGCUGCAUGCCCGCUUAUCAGCAUGUGUCUCACAGGAAUUUAUGACGUCACUGGUACUUACCAGUGUAGCUCUGAGAUGUGUGUUUGGUUAGCUGUGUUCUCUGGGCUGGGUCCUCGAGGACGUCUCACAAGCACCCUGAGAGGGGAAAAGAACAGCAUUGUCAAGAGCGGGAACGGAGGAAGCAUGGGAAUCGUGCGGCGUGUGAAAAACAAACAUGAUAUAGAAGAGCAAAAUAGGACGGAGGCAAAUUCCCAAAUCCAGCUCGAGGUUAUCCACGACAUGACGACAGCGUGACUUCUUCACGAGUAAUGUACCGGGAUAGCUUGCUCUCUUCAUCUAACCGGCUCUGGAAGCGCCAAUAAAACCCUCAGGGUUUUACGAACACCUACAGUAUGUAUAAUUGCCCUAUUAGACAUGAGUAAACACACGGGUGUUAAGUCGACACUGGAAAUUUAUCCUGUAAGACUCCUUCAAUAGCUAGUUCAUCCACAUCGUCAUGGCGGCUCUAUUCAGUGGGUAAUUACAGUUAAUAAGAUCGCAGCAGUUAAUCGGCGUGACGUCGCCCCGUUUUGUACCGAGAGUACACUGUGUACGCUUCGAAAAGGUCUCGAACAAUUCCCCGCCGAUGCGCACACAACUAAUUAUGGACUGUCGUCUCACACCCGUCUGUCCUCGACAUCUCACGCCCGUCUGAGAACAAAAGGGAAAAGAAAUGUAUUGCCGUUGGAUGAUCUGCGGUUAGUUUGACAAUAAAGCUUUUUACGUUAAAUGACUUAAGAGAAGUGUUCACACCUCGGCCCAUGAGAAGUGUACACACAAGAGACGCACGAGAACUUGUGCGGAAGUAAGGAAGGAAAGAAGGGAAGAAGGAAAAAGAAGGAAUUGCAGCGACAGGGAAGGAAGGAAGGAAGGAAGGAAAAAAGGAAGUACAUCAAUGCAGAUGGAAGGAAGGAAGGGAAGAAGGAAAUGAGUAAAGGAAGGAAAUGCAGAGACAAGGAAGGAAGGAAGGAAGGAUGGAAGGAAGUACAUCAAUGCAGAUGGAAGGAAGUAAGGAAAGAAGGAAAUGAGUAAAGGAAGGAAGUACAGAAUCAAGGAAAGAAGGAAAUGCAGAGACAAGGAAGGAAGGAAAGAAGGAAAGAAGGAAAGGAAGGAAGUACGGAGACAAGGAAGGAAGGAAGGAAGGAAGUACAUCAAUGCAGAUGGAAGGAAGUAAGGAAAGAAGGAAAUAAGUAAAGGAAGGAAGUACAGAAUCAAGGAAAGAAGGAAAUGCAGAGACAAAGAAGGAAGGAAAGAAGGAAAGAAGGAAAGGAAGGAAGUACGGAGACAAGGAAGGAAGGAAGGAAGUACAGAGACAAGGAAGUAAGGAAGGAAGUACAUCAAUGCAGAUGGAAGGAAGUAAGGAAAGAAGGAAAUGAGUAAAGGAAGGAAGUACAGAGACAAGGAAAGAAGGAAAUGCAGAGACAAGGAAGGAAGGAAAGAAGGAAAGAAGUAAAGGAAGGAAGUACAGAGACAAGGAAGGAAGGAAGUACAGUGACAUGGAAGGAAGGAAGGAAGGAAAAAUGGAAGUACAUCAAUGCAGAUGGAAGGAAGUAAGGAAAGAAGGAAAU
ensembl:lncRNA